rnacentral:lncRNA from 1 species
GGUUGCGAUCAUACCAGCACUAAUGCACCGGAUACCAUCAGAACUCCGCACUUUAGCGUGCUUGGGCGAGUGUAGUACUAGGAUGGGUGACUCCCUGGGAAGUCCUCGUGUUGCAACCCCCUUUUUUUCGUUUUUUUAUUGUUUUUAUUAUAUUUACUAGUCGAUGUAUCUUUGGCGUAGCAUCCGAUCGACCGAUUUUGUGAAAGGAAAGCUUUAAUGAAGGCGCGCGCGCGCACGGCGGGUCUGAGGCGCGUGACGUAGGCUACACAUGAGGGCAUAGGUGCGCAUGGUAUCAAGGCGUUGAAAUGUACACAGGAAUAAGGAGACGGAUUCUUUCGGUUGCGAUCAUACCAGCACUAAUGCACCGGAUCCUAUCAGAACUCCGCAGUUAAGCGUGCUUGGGCGAAAGUAGUACUAGGAUGGGUGACCCCCUGAAAAGUCCUCGUGUUGCAACCC